GUGAGGAAUAUUGGUCAAUGGGCGGGAGCCUGAACCAGCCAAGUCGCGUGAAGGAAGAAGGAUCUAUGGUUCGUAAACUUCUUUUGCAGGGGAAUAAAGUGCAGGACGUGUCCUGUUUUGUAUGUACCCUGAGAAUAAGGAUCGGCUAACUCCGUGCCAGCAGCCGCGGUAAUACGGAGGAUCCGAGCGUUAUCCGGAUUUAUUGGGUUUAAAGGGUGCGUAGGUGGUUUGAUAAGUCAGCGGUGAAAGUGUGCAGCUUAACUGUAAAAAUGCCGUUGAAACUGUCGGACUUGAGUGUAAAUGAGGUAGGCGGAAUGCGUGGUGUAGCGGUGAAAUGCAUAGAUAUCACGCAGAACUCCGAUUGCGAAGGCAGCUUACUAAGCUACAACUGACACUGAAGCACGAAAGCGUGGGGAUCAAACAGGAUUAGAUACCCUGGUAGUCC
rnacentral:rRNA from 1 species